AGUUGAUUUGGCAAAAAGUAUAUAAAAAACUGAUGCUGUUUUGAUGAAGGAUAAAGAGAACACAUGGAAAAGUCUGGCAGAAAAUUUUAAUGAAGCUCUAUCACUCAUGUGUAUGUAAAAUAUACUACAAAAUGCACACGAAAAACAAAGCUCCAAACAGGUAAAUAAUGUUUUGUUCUAAUACAAAAGAAGGACACAUAUAUUGGGCCACAAUGGGCCUAAUACCUAAAGGAUUUUUAUGUAAUUUGACAAAACCAAAAAGCCGCAGACAUGAUGGUGCAGAAACACGUGCAUACUUCAAGAAAUCAGAAAGUUUCUUGCUCCUCAUUAGCCUAUCCACCCUAGCUGCAAGUUUAUCAGUAGGAUCCU
rnacentral:lncRNA from 1 species